GUGUCAGCAGCCGCGGUAAUACGGAGGGUGCGAGCGUUGUCCGGAAUCACUGGGCGUAAAGGGCGCGUAGGUGGCCGAGCAAGGUCGCGGUGAAAGCCCGGGGCUCAACCCCGGGUCGGCCGUGGCAACUACUGGGCUAGAGCACUGUAGGGGCGGGUGGAAUUCCGGGUGUAGCGGUGGAAUGCGUAGAGAUCCGGAAGAACACCGGUGGCGAAGGCGGCCCGCUGGGCAGGAAGAGGGAGCAAUCCCUCGGCUGACACUGAGGCGCGACAGCGUGGGGAGCAAACAGGAUUAGAUACCCUUGUAGUCC
rnacentral:rRNA from 1 species